CACAAAUCAAUUUAUUCACAUUUAAGCAUAACUUUCCUCUGCCUUGCCAUUAUCAUCAAUUUAAUGUACGACUUAAAGUAGAAACGACGAUUUCGUUGAUAAGUAAUCUUUAGUAGUAUUAUAUCGAUUAUCAACUUCGUUGGCUCCACUCGGAGCCGCGGGAGCUGCUUUGAUUAAUUGCAACCGAAAGUCGUGGGGGAACUGGUUGCCGGCCGUUUGGCUUUUGGUUAGCUGUCGCCAGUUAAUGUUGCCAACUUAAUCGCAUUUGGACGGGCCGCUUGAUAAUGUUGUUUACGAGUAUGUGCAAAACGAUUUGGCUGCAACUCGGAGCCGGCAAACUGGACGCACAGGGGAGACUGGACGCACUCCAGACUCCGGACUCCCGGCUCUGACUCGCGCUGCGUGUCCUUGAGCCGUCUCUUUGGGCCGAGCCAAAAGUCAGCUAAAACUAUUUCAGAUUAUGUGCCAGGCGAUUUUUGCGUAAACUCUCAAGGUAAUCCACACAUAAAAAGGACACGCAAAAUUCUUACGUAAGUGGGCUGAAAAUAUGUUUUAUGAGCGGGCAUCAUAAAUUUAUUUUUUCUCGCUCGCCCGGACGACAAGACAAGAAUGAAAACGCGCUCUCAAUGUUCUGAUCUCGUUCCAGAAUCGCCUCGCGGCAUAACAUAAUUUUGCCUAAUUUACCAGCGUGUUCCAAGGACCCAGCCAGGACAACAGGA